rnacentral:tRNA from 1 species
GGGAUACAGCUCAGUUGCUAGAGUUCUUGCCUUACAUGCACAAGAUCCUGAGUUCAAUCCCCAGCAUCACA